rnacentral:ncRNA from 1 species
CCCACCUCUUACGAGGUGGGCUAUUGCAUUUCGUCGCUUCGCGACU